AGGGUGGGAAUGUUUUUGCUGCGCUGAGCCAGGGGCAGAGUGAGGAAGAGGAGGAGGAGGAAGAGGAGAAAAAACCAGCCAAGGGCAAAAGCAGCAAGGAGGAAGAGGAGGCUGAGAAGAAGAAGAAGAAAAACCUGAAAAAGGAGAAGCCCAAGGGGAAGAAGCAGGGGCGGCCGCCCAGCGAUGACGACGACGAGGCCGAAGGCUCCGAGGAGGCCCCGGGCAGGAAGAACAAAUUCGGGGCCCUGAGGGAUGAGGAAGAGGAGGAGGAGGAGGAGGAAGGAGCCCGGAAGGGAAGCGACAACGUGAGACUGGGGGGGG